rnacentral:lncRNA from 1 species
AAAAAAGAACAAUAAUUUAAACGCCAAUGCCUGUGAAAAAUAAAAAAAAAAAAUAAACUGCAUGCAUAAUAUAUUUUCUUACAUUCAACAGUACAAAUCACACAUGAAAUUGUUUUAUAACACAUAAACAAAGGCAUAAUACAGGUAUUAUAGUAUUCCCAUAUACAUAAUACAUUUACAAAUGUAGUUAUGUAUACAUGUUUUUAUUCAUAUAAUACACAUUACCGCUAUUUUGUGCAUUUUUCCUUUGAUCUUUUUUUGUGAUAAUUUUUCAUAUCGUGCUACUCACUUGAGAUGGAAAAUUAUAACUAGAAACUAAGCAGGCACGUGGCUUUGCUAACGAAAUUGACAUGAAUUUCAAUUAAUAGGUAAAAGCGAUAAAUAGAUUAUCAUUGGUCAUCUCUGACAACUCGAUUGCCUUUCUCGUUUUCGCCAUCCCGGCUGAAGCGAGAAAAUCAAUCUUGUUGAGAUGAUCAACGAUUAUCUAUAAAUACAUGCAUAAACGUACGUGUUCACACAAAACAUAUCAUAUGC